UACGUAGGGGGCAAGCGUUGUCCGGAUUUAUUGGGCGUAAAGAGCGUGUAGGCGGCCUGGGAGGUCCGUUGUGAAAACUCGAGGCUCAACCUCGAGACGCCGAUGGAAACCCCCUGGCUAGAGUCCGGAAGAGGAGAGUGGAAUUCCUGGUGUAGCGGUGAAAUGCGCAGAUAUCAGGAGGAACACCGGUGGCGAAGGCGGCAUCCUGGACCGGUAUUGACGCUGAGGCGCGAAAGCUAGGGGAGCAAACGGGAUUAGAAACCCGU
rnacentral:rRNA from 1 species